UAAAGAGGCUGACCUUGACAAUGACUUUGUGUGUUUCAGUAAAGCAUUGACCUGCUGGAAAUGGAGACCCCCGCGCUAAUAAAUCAAGCACAUUUAAAAUGAGUUACCCUAAUGCUCAUUCAUCACAGCUGUAAUGCCAUUUGCAGCAGAGGAUUCGCCGUCCUGCGCAAACACUGCAGUAAAUAAUAACACUUGAACAUCUCUGCAUCAUUGCAGGUUCCAACACCACAAGCAUACGCUUAUUAAGGAGCCUUUAUUAGACAGCGUAUUCUCACCUAACAGGCCAGAUCAUGGCAAAAAGCAAGACAAGCAACCCCAGACAAAGAAUAUUGCCAAUGCCAGUGCUGACUCAAAGAACACGCAACAGAUGAAUGGUUUCGUGACUGGUGCAGCUACUUCCUUCAUCCCCAAGGACAGAACGGCCUCUUCCCUGUGUGGCUGCACUGGAAGGAGAAGACAAUCUGUUGCUAAAUACCUCAGAAUAAGGCCACACAUUAAUGUUCCCUCUUUCACAUACUACAAAUAAUUCAGAGACUUUUCCUAUUUUCUUGUUUCAGAUACAACUAGAGACAAACAAAAACACAGAGGAAAUGCUGCUGGAUACUAUUAAAGUGAGCAUCGUAAACAUUAUUUCAAGAGGUUUCCGAAAAGGAUCUCUAAAAUUAUCAGAGAAUUCACAAUUCAAGAGUACCUAACGAAGAAGAAGGGAAAUUAAUCCUUCAUAUGGCUCAAGUGUAAGUAUUUGUUGGAAUAUUACUGCCUAUUACUAUAAAAAUCAUGAUUCUUUGAGUGCCUACUAUGUGCCAAGUAACA
rnacentral:lncRNA from 1 species